rnacentral:tRNA from 1 species
UACCGAGUUGUGUAAAGGUAGCACAAGAGAUUCUGGUUCUCUUUGUGAGGGUUCGAAUCCUUCCUCGGUAGCCA